UGCAUGUGAAAUGUGCCAGGUUCACCAGC
rnacentral:piRNA from 1 species